rnacentral:rRNA from 1 species
AGAGUUUGAUCCUGGCUCAGGAUGAACGCUAGCGGUGUGCCUAAUGCAUGCAAGUCGAACGGGAUCCUAUAGAUUCGUCUUUAGGUGAGAGUGGCGGACGGGUGAGUAACGCGUUGGUGACCUGCCCCAGAGAGGGAGACAACCAUUGGAAACGAUGGCUAAUACCCCGGAUGUCAUUGUGUUUAGAAAACAAUGACUAAACGCUCUGGCGCUCUGGGAGGGGCCUGCGUCCCAUCAGCUAGUUGGUAAGGUAAUGGCUUACCAAGGCAAAGACGGGUAGGGGGCGUGAGAGCGUGACCCCCCACACUGGUACUGAAACACGGACCAGAUACCUACGGGUAGCAGCAGCAAGGAAUAUUGUCCAAUGGACGAAAGUCUGAGACAGCAACACCGCGUGGAGGACGAAGGUCUUCGGAUUGUAAACUCCUUUUCUGGGGGAAGAGAACGGACGGUACCCCAGGAAUAAGGCCCGGCUAACUACGUGCCAGCAGCCGCGGUAAAACGUAGGGGUCGAGCGUUAUCCGGAUUUACUGGGCGUAAAGAGCAUGUAGGCGGUUGCUUAAGUCGGACGUGAAAGCUCCUGGCUCAACUAGGAGAGGUCGUUCGAAACUAAGUAACUCGAGGAUGGUAGAGGAUAGUGGAAUUCCAGGUGUAGUGGUGAAAUGCGUAGAUAUCUGGAGGAACACCAGUGGCGAAGGCGGCUAUCUGGGCCAUUCCUGACGCUGAGAUGCGAAAGCUAGGGGAGAGAACGGGAUUAGAAACCCCGGUAUUCCUAGCCGUAAACGAUGUCAACUAGGUGUAGGAGGUAUUGACCCCUUCUGUGCUGCAGCAAACGCGUUAAGUUGACCGCCUGGGGACUACGGCCGCAAGGCUAAAACUCAAAGGAAUUGACGGGGACCCGCACAAGCAGCGGAGCGUGUGGUUUAAUUCGAGACUACGCGAAGAACCUUACCAGGGUUUGACAUGACGGUAGUAGGGAUCCGAAAGGUGACCGACCCUUCGGGGAGCCGCCACAGGUGCUGCAUGGCUGUCGUCAGCUCGUGCCGUGAGGUGUUAGGUUAAGUCCUGUAACGAGCGCAACCCACGUCGUUAGUUAUACGUGUCUAACGAGACUGCCGGUGAUAAGCCGGAGGAAGGUGUGGAUGACGUCAAGUCAGCAUGGCCUUUAUAUCCUGGGCUACACACACGCUACAAUGGCCGGUACAAUGGGCAGCGAAACCG